rnacentral:rRNA from 1 species
CGCGUGGGAAUCUACCUGGUAGUGGGGGACAACAGUCGGAAACGACUGCUAAUACCGCAUACGCCCUGAGGGGGAAAGCGGGGGAUCGCAAGACCUCGCGUUAUUCGAGCGGCCGACGUCUGAUUAGCUAGUUGGUGGGGUAAAGGCUCACCAAGGCGACGAUCAGUAGCGGGUCUGAGAGGAUGAUCCGCCACACUGGGACUGAGACACGGCCCAGACUCCUACGGGAGGCAGCAGUGGGGAAUUUUGGACAAUGGGGGCAACCCUGAUCCAGCCAUUCCGCGUGAGUGAAGAAGGCCUUCGGGUUGUAAAGCUCUUUCAGCUGGAGCGAAACGGUACGCUCUAACAUAGCGUGCUAAUGACGGUACCAGCAGAAGAAGCACCGGCUAACUACGUG